rnacentral:rRNA from 1 species
CCUGAGAAACCCAAAAGAUCGAAUGGGGAGAUUCAUCGUCAGCGAUCCAGGCACGUGUGCGGUUCGUGAUGCCGGGGGACUUCGGUCUCAUGGCACACUUCCGUAUGGUUUUUGCCGGGUGUCGUCGGCGUGCACUUCUCCCCUAGUAGGACGUCGCGACCCGUUGGGUGUCGGUCUACGGCCCGGGUGGGCGCCUGUCAUGUGUUACGCUUUACAGCGUCAUGUGGCAGACCCCCGGUUGUCUGACCAGCUGCUCGGCGGUACUCGCACGGUAUCGAGUCGCAAAUAUUCGAACUGCGUCCGGCCCGCCGCAAGCGAGGCCAGUGUUUCACGGAUGUACGGACCUAGCGCCGUCACCGGGCCUGGCCAGCUGUUGGUUGGUGGUGUCCUGGGACUGGCUCUAAAUUAUGAUACCGGUCGGCGACGCUACUGCUUUGGUAUUUC